rnacentral:misc_RNA from 1 species
GUUUUCUAAUGAUACUAAGUUGCAAACAGUUGAAGGAAGUAAUCUUCACCUUGAAGCAAUGAGUAUUUUUGAUGGCGGGCCACUUCUGCUGAAGAACUUAUUGGAGAGUGAUUUUGUUGGUUUGACGGGGCCAUUCAAGUUUAGUCCAGAUAAAUCUCUUAUUCGUCCAGCAUAUGAUAUCAUAAAUGUAAUUGGAACAGGUUUUCGACGUGUUGGUUACUGGUCUAACUAUUCUGGUUUGUCUAUUUUGCCUCCCGAGACCUAUUACUCGAGACCACCUAAUCG